AGCCCGAAGAGGCCAUGAAAUCCCUCCCCUUUCCCAUACUCAGCCUUUCCAGCUCCUCUGGCAGUCUGCAGCAUGCCAGAUGACCAAACCCUCUCUCCAUUGUCCCUGCCCCACGUUAAUGUUUGACCAGAACAGACUAUCAUCCUACUUUCGGGUUGUACCAGUCAAAUUGUGGGGAUGGAGGCAGCUCCCGCCACCUUAGCAUCCAGGUCACAGCAAAGUUCAAGGAACUUAUGGUAAAGAUCAAUCACACUUAUGGCACUGCCAACAGAAGCACAUGCUUGUGGAAAAUAGCGUAAAAGAAUUUUAAGGAGGAGAGCUGGGCUCUGAAUUACACCGGAGGCAGAGCGUCUGGACAGUUUUCAUCAGAAGCCACGUCCUAGAGGUAGCGAGCUGUAAACAGUCGUUAAAAGCAACGGAGGAAUGUGUUAGGGUGGGCCCAGGAAGGUGUCAGGCCACGGCGGGCACGUGAGGGAAUGGGCACAGCCUUCAUUGUAGGCACAGAAGCUGGAGCCAGCGGGAGGAGGCAAGCGGGCAACCGAACAGAAUGAUGAGAAAAACCGAAGCUCAGGGAACAUUUCCAAGACCAAGAGCUGAGAACGCUGCGGAGCUGAAAUUUAAAUCCAGUUUGUCAGACCCCCCCAAUCCGCCCAGGCUAUCCUAUGGAUGCACUCCUCCCACCAUCUGCUCUCCCAAGCUCUGCUGAAACCCCCCUGCCUAGAACAAUUUGCUUCGUAGCUGACUUUCCAUAAACAUUCAUACAAUGGAUACAGAAAUGACACAGAGGUCAGCAUCAGAACCCAGGAUCCCCCAAAGCCCUGUUUCUCUCUUUCACAGCCUCUCUCUACCUUAUUCCUAUCACCAAGGGAUUCUUCUCUCUUUCCCUCUUUCUACUAUUUGUUAGAAUGGAAAGCACUGGGCCGGUAAAGCUGUCACUCAGGAUAUGAUUUUUUCUCUGCCACUUUCUGGCUGUGUGCUUUUCUUAAAUCAUGGAACUGCAACUGAAAACGCAUGGAUGACAACACAAGGAUUAUUUUAAAGAUUAAAUGAAAUAACUAGGAUGACUGGGCCUGGCAUAUAUUAAGCAUCAAUUAACAUUAAUUGCUUUGCAUCCUUCUCUUUGUUUCUCUCCUCUCCCAUUGUUCCUUCCUUAUAAAUUAAUUCCCUGCCUUUCUCACAAUCUUUACUCCCUACUCAUAAAGCUUCUGCCAGGGUUGUCAGCAGGAUUUAUGUACUUGAAUUGAACUGAGUUAGGUAGGCAUGAAUGAAAGGCAAGUUAUCUCUUUCUAGGGGGAGAAAAAUUUAAGGCAGAGUGAUGUGAGAAGUGUCGACAAGACCCAGGAAAGCCCAGGGAGAGGGGCUGGGGCUAAGGCGUCUGCCCGCUUGGCAGCAGCUGUGAUGUUCGGAGUACGUGUUCAGACCAGCAGUCCCUGAGAUGCUAUUCCACUUAUUCUGGAGACCACUCUGCUCUUAGCCCCGCUGGGCAGGUAGAUUUGGAAAUGUUUAUUGCAUGAGAUGUGGGAUGGAAGAAAGAAACCUGAAUUGGGAAUGAAGAGGCUUGUUCCACCUUCCCUCAAUCCUGCCAGUAGCCAGCUACAGAGCUUAGGAAAAGUCUGUUUACCUCCCUGGACCUCAGCCUACCCUCUGACAAUUAAAGGGAGAUCACAGUUUUGAAGGCAUCUACCAGCUCUGACGCGCUCUGGCUAAACCAGACCAAAAAUUUUUUUUACAGCCAUUUUUGAAAAGGGAGUGAGAGAAGAGAACUGCAGAAGCUUAAAGAAGCACCAUUUGCAAAGUUUUUUUUUGUUCUGUUUCCAACAAUCUUACUUAUUCGCAGCACAGAUUCUGUUAGGCUUAGACUUGUGUUUCGGUGGCACUGGAUUGAUAGACUCAUACUAAUUGGUGUGGGUGUCUCAAUUUUCUCCGUCCAACUUUGCUGGGGUCUCGCCUUCUCUCUAUGGAAGCUCUUCUCAGGCUCACAAGAGCUGAGAUUUCUCAGAGGCGCCUGUAGAUGGAUUUGCCUUUUUUCUGCUAUAUCCAUCUGAAGCCACAGCAACUCUCUCUGAGCCAAAACCACUCACUAAUUAAUACAUUUCACAGGGUGAAUGAAGCACUGGCACGACCAGCAGCUUGGGGCAGCUCCCAAAGCCAUGGCCUUGCCCAGUGCCCAGAAAGUCCUGCCUGGAGACGGCCAGUGCCAGUUUCCUCCAUGCCAGCACCUCACCCUUCUCAUUUGAACCCAGAAAUGUGUUGACUUCCAGUGCCCCCUACCACCCUAGCUGUGUCAUUUUCUCCUUCACCUGUUUGCAUUUCCAAGGAAGCACAAGUCACAGUCAUAGGGGCUCGUGAUCUAUUUUUUAUUCUCCCCUUUUCUGGGCAGAAUGAUGGAUCAACUCUGGAAAACCUAUUAGGAAAGGGCUGGGCCAUCCUGCGUUUCCGCCAGGCCUGUCCAGGUGACUUUGAGUCAACCCACUGAGAGCUACUUGGCCACAGGCCAUCUCUGUGGGGCACCAUGUUUAUUUGAACCACUGACCCUGGCCCUAGAAGAAAAGAUGAAGACUUAGUGAUACCCCUUCUCCCCAUCUAUCCCCACCAGGGGCUUUUUGGAGUGUCUUUAAUUUACAGUCUGUUGGAAAGCACUCAGAAUCACUCUACCCUACACUCAAGGCAGGACCCUUCAUCAUCCAUCUGCGCCAGGCCAGCCUGCAGGCAUAUAUCCCUGAACUUCCCAGUGAGGUUCUGAAAGAACUGGGAAACUGAGGAAGAGAUUGGAAAUAGAGGAGGCCCCAGUGAUGGCUGUUUGUAUCAAUCAUCACAUUGAUUUGCUUAGGGAAGUCUUAUUCUAACAUUACACUGGUUGGUGAUCAGGCCUCCAGGCCCACUGGACUCCUAAGAUAAGGCUCCAGCUCCACAGAGUUGGAAGACAAAAUUGUCCGCUCCCUCCUUGCAUUCACCCAGCCCGGGGUCUUAUCUGGCAGAUGAUUGCUUGUUGCUCCAGCUUUCUCUGUCCUAACCUCUACAACCAUAGUCACCAAUGAUUUACUUAUUCUUAGACCCAGCCAUAACCUCACAUUUUCCAUGAAUCAGCUAGCCCCCUAUGGUUUCCUGCAAUGUUUCCUUUAUUUUCUAUUUCCUUAUGACAUUCUUUAAAUGAAUCUCCUUCUAUAAUUACCAUUUGACCCCUGGGCUUUUACUCUCCACAUUGCUACAAAAAAAAAAAAAAAAAAAAAAGUCCAGUUCUUUUUGCAAGACGCCAUUCCUUAUAUAUCUUUCCAUCUUCCAUAAUGCCUACAACAAGGGUGACCACAUCAUAAAUUAUUGGUAAAGAUUUCCUGGUUAUGCCAAGACAGAAAUCUAGCCUGCUUGGUAGUUACAUUUCUUUAGGCAAAAUAACAAAUUGACUUUCUGCUUUGAAUUAGGCAUAUUUAUGUCAACAGGAGGCCAAAUCACUGCUGGGUGAGUGACCCACUGCUAGGAAGAUGCCCAGACGCCAACUGGGAAAAGCUUGGCCAAGCCAAUCAGGUGCUGCCAGAGCCUUCUUUGUGAUAGCAAUGCCAACCCAUGAACUAAUACCCUCCUUUGGGAGAGAUGCUGACACGCCAAGGAAACUAAUGUUUUUAUCUCAGCUGACUCAUUUGCUGAGAACAACAGGUUUAUAAGGCAACUCUUAGCUUGACCCACUCUACUCCUCCAUCAAAAUAAAGAAAUAAAUAAAGUUUUCAAACUAAAGAGCAUUAAAGAAUGAUAACUUUUCUUUUUCUUGGUACUAUCUAUUGACCUAUACCUGGUUUUCACUGUAACACAUUUGUGGUAUGAAAAAUGACAAUAUGAUGUCAGAGAAAAUGAGAG
rnacentral:lncRNA from 10 species